UACGUAGGGUGCAAGCGUUGUUCGGAAUCAUUGGGCGUAAAGCGCGUGUAGGUGGCUAGUUAAGUCGGGUGUGAAAUCCCUGGGCUCAACCGAGGAAGUGCACUCGAAACUGGCUGGCUAGAAGAUAGUAGAGGAUGGUGGAAUUCCAAGUGUAGAGGUGAAAUUCGUAGAUAUUUGGAGGAAUACCGGCGGCGAAGGCGGCCAUCUGGGCUAUUCUUGACACUGAGACGCGAAAGCGUGGGGAGCAAACAGG
rnacentral:rRNA from 1 species